ACAGCAUGGUGCGGACAUUUACGAAUGAGGUCCUUAAGUCUCUCCUAUGUUUCAUGAAACAAUUCUCCACUCAUUUGGAAAAAACUAGUGAUGGCUUUCCUAAUUU